UACAGAGACUGCAAGCGUUAUUCGGAUUCACUGGGCGUAAAGGGUGCGUAGGUGGUGAGGUAAGUCGGAUGUGAAAGCUCGGAGCUCAACUCCGAAAUGGCAUUGGAAACUACCUUGCUCGAGGGUUGGAGGGGGGACUGGAAUGCUUGGUGUAGCAGUGAAAUGCGUAGAUAUCAAGCGGAACACCAGUGGCGAAGGCGAGUCCCUGGACAACUCCUGACACUGAGGCACGAAAGCUAGGGGAGCAAACAGG
rnacentral:rRNA from 1 species